UUUAUGAUGGUAUGAUACUAAACCCCUAGCGAUAGGGAUUAUGCUUGAUUUUCAUAUGAUAAAGACAUAAUCCUUGAAUCAGUUUUAUUGAGGUCUGGAGCAGGCAUGUCAGUAAAUGCUAGUAGUCCAUUAUUAAUUUAUGUAUCAUUGUCAUUUUGUUUCAUUUCGUUUGACAUCCGACUCCGAAUCUUUUUAAGCUGAGUUUCACCUUGUGUAUUGCUGUGCAUUUCUUUAUUCUACAUUGGCCAGAGGUAUAGGGAGAGGGAUG
rnacentral:lncRNA from 1 species